rnacentral:tRNA from 1 species
GCCGAAUUGGCUCAGUCGGUAGAGCAACGCAUUCGUAAUGCGUGGGUCGGCGGUUCGAGUCCGCCAUUCGGCU